AUCAAACCUGCAUCCUCAUGGAUACUAGUCAGGUUUCUUACCCAAGAGGCCGGAUGCAGUUCCCUGUGCUGCCCGACAGGGCUCCAUCCAUCACGCAUCUGUUCUAAAUGUUAACGGUAUCCACCUACCAACCCCAAGCUCUCCAGCGAUUUUAGCACGCUGCGCUCUGUACACAGCAGGUGCUCAAAUAACUCUUUGUGGAAUGAAGCUGUCUUUCCUCUUGUCUUCAUGUCUCUGCCCCUAAACAGCUUGUCUGGUUCUCUGUGACCUCAGAGAGAACCCCUGAAGCCUUUUCAAAAGUGGACUGUGGCCAGCAGUGAAGAGAGGCUGGAUGACAUCUGAUGAGUCGUGGGGACAGGGCAUGUGGGGCAGCAGGGCUAGAGGGCCGGUGGAGUUGAAUAUGCCCCAGUGCACUGGGUACCAGCCCCCAUGUGUCACUGGCCUGUGGUAAACCCACUGCUCUGUGGGAGGCCCUGGGAAAACCAGCUCAAAUCCCUGCUUGUGGUCGGCAUUUUAUGAAAUAACCUCUUACCAAAG